rnacentral:rRNA from 1 species
UACGUAGGGUGCAAGCGUUGUCCGGAAUUAUUGGGCGUAAAGAGCUCGUAGGCGGUCUGUCGCGUCGGCUGUGAAAACCCGGGGCUCAACCCCGGACCUGCAGUCGAUACGGGCAGACUAGAGUGCGGUAGGGGAGACUGGAAUUCCUGGUGUAGCGGUGAAAUGCGCAGAUAUCAGGAGGAACACCGGUGGCGAAGGCGGGUCUCUGGGCCGUAACUGACGCUGAGGAGCGAAAGCGUGGGGAGCGAACAGG